GAUGAACGCUGGCGGCGUGCCUAAUACAUGCAAGUCGAGCGAACGGACGAGAAGCUUGCUUCUCUGAUGUUAGCGGCGGACGGGUGAGUAACACGUGGAUAACCUACCUAUAAGACUGGGAUAACUUCGGGAAACCGGAGCUAAUACCGGAUAAUAUUUUGAACCGCAUGGUUCAAAAGUGAAAGACGGUCUUGCUGUCACUUAUAGAUGGAUCCGCGCUGCAUUAGCCAGUUGGUAAGGUAACGGCUUACCAAGGCAACGAUGCAUAGCCGACCUGAGAGGGUGAUCGGCCACACUGGAACUGAGACACGGUCCAGACUCCUACGGGAGGCAGCAGUAGGGAAUCUUCCGCAAUGGGCGAAAGCCUGACGGAGCGACGCCGCGUGAGUGAUGAAGGUCUUCGGAUCGUAAAACUCUGUUAUUAGGGAAGAACAUAUGUGUAAGUAACUGUGCACAUCUUGACGGUACCUAAUCAGAAAGCCACGGCUAACUACGUG
rnacentral:rRNA from 1 species